rnacentral:rRNA from 1 species
UACGUAGGGUCCGAGCGUUGUCCGGAAUUACUGGGCGUAAAGCGCGCGCAGGCGGCUUCCCAAGCGCCACGUGAAAGCCCCGGGCUCAACCCGGGAGGGUCGCGGCGAACUGGGAGGCUUGAGGCCGGUAGAGGUGGGUGGAACUCCUGGUGGAGUAGUGAAAUGCGUAGAGAUCAGGAAGAACACCCGUGGCGAAGGCGGCCCACUGGGCCGGUGCUGACGCUGAGGCGCGAAGGCGUGGGGAGCGAACGGG